AUAGGUUUGUGUCAGUCUGAGUUGGCAGGUUAAUUCACAGUUACAGGUUAAUACUACGCUGUAUGCCAAUCAAACCAUGACGAGUGUCUUCAGGUUCCCUGGAAUUACACUGCCACCAUGACCACAGCUCCAUGUGUUGCUGUAUUGCUGUGCCUGCAGAAAAGGAAAGGUGGGGCCUUCCUCUCCGUCAGAGCUCUCUACUAUACAGUAGACUUUAGACCCCGAUAAAGAUGUUUCUGUGAGCCUGUUGAAUUCCCCUAAGAGCUACACUAUAUAUACAAAAGUCUAUGGACACACCUUCAAAUUAGUGGAUUCAACCGCGAAGUGGUAGGCCACACGAGCUCACAGAACAGGACCGCUGAGUGCUGAAGCGCGUAGUGCAUAAAAAACGUCUGUCCUCGGUUGCAGCACUCACUACGGGGGCAAUGGAAGCAAUGUCAGCACAAUAACUGUUCGUCGGGAGCUCAAUGAAAUGGAUUUCCAUAGCCGAGCAGCCACACACAAGACUAAGAUCGCAAUGCGCAAUGUCAAGCGUCGGCUGGUGUAGUGUAAAUCUCGCCACCAUUGGACUCUGGAGCAGUGGAAAUGCGUUCUCUAGAGUGAUGGAUCACGCUUCACCAUCUGGCAGUCCAAUGGACAAAUCUGGGUUUGUUGAAUGCCAGGAGAACACUACCUGCACAAAUUCAUAGUGCCAACUGUAACGUUUGGUUGGGGAGGAAUAAUGGUCUGGGGGUGUUUUCAUAGGUUGGGCUAGGCCCCUUAGUUCCAGUGAAGAGAACAUCUGAACGCUACAGCAUACACUGACAUUCUAGACGAUUCUGUGCUUCCAACUUUGUGGCAACAAUUUGGGGAAGGCCCUUUCCGGUUUCAGCAUGACAAUUUCCCCGUGCACAAAGCCAGGUACAUACAGAAAUUGUCAAAGAUCGGUGUGGAAGAAUUUGACUGGCCUACACAGAGCCAUGACCUUAUGCUAGAUGUUUUUCUAAGGCGUCUUUUCCAUCUGUUUGACCAGAAAUCAAAGCCUUUGCUUAUUCUUUUUUUUAGGGUGGAAAAUGGUAGAAACUUUACUUUACUGUACUGUGCUCUACUGUGCUGUCCAAACUUGUGAAACAUGAUUGGUCCAGAUUUGGUCCGUUCCAGACUGGACUGGACGUUGAAAUCAAGGCCAGGGUGGACUGACCAAAUUUCAACUACUUUUCGACUUCCAUGGACAUCCUGUGUCGGUCAGUGCUCAGUGGCAAGAUGGCCAUGGACGACUUCUAAUAUAUGGACAGCUUCAAGAGAAAGCGCAUCAAAUUGACCCUCAAGACUGCGACUUUCCUGUAUUGUUCAGCGGAUCAAUGCCAAUAAAACUGUGAUUUUAGAGGAAGGUAAGAAAAAAUGAAUGCACAUUAUCUUGCAAAGAGUUGUUGCUCAGUGUUUCACAUGCUCAUGUAUUUGCUCUAAAUCUGCACAGUAGCUGAUCACGAUCAGCUCAGCUAAUUUGACAGCUAGCUGGCUACUAGUAGCUAGCUAAUUGUAGUAGCUACUGGUAGCCGGCAGAAGCUACAUCCUGGUCGUCAAUAGUUACCACAGCCACAAAGUCAUAAACUCCGCCUAUUUCAAACAGGUAUCUUCUUAUAAUGUGAUUUUAAACCGAACCGUAACCCCAAUUUUAACCACACUGCUAGCUUUAUGCCUAACCCUGACCUUAAAAUUAAGACCAAAAAGCACAUUUUUAGGAUAUAGCCAAUUUGGACGUUGUGGUUGUGGUAACUAUUGAUUACCCUGCGUCCUGGUAAUCUAUUCAUGUGUGCCAGUUACUGCCCUGUGCUGCCAGUGUGUAUUGCAUAAAUUAGUAAUCUGCAAUGUAUGCAUCUAAUCUGUUUCAGUUGUGGAUAAGAAUGGAAGGAAUUAAAGUUUUGUUUGGACAUGAGAUUCUGAAUGGUAUCUGCACUGGCCGUGCUGCUACUCCAAUUUAAUCUGUUCUGCCUGUGGCUAUGGAAUCCUGACCUGUUCUCCGGACAUGCUACCUGUCCCAGACCUAUUAUUUGACUGUGGCAGAGUUUCAGCCAUACAGGAAGAAUCUCCUACUGAGUUAAUAACCUCAUGUUUUAUACUCUAUUGUACACAUUUAGCUAACUGAAGCCAAAGGUUUGCAUCAUUAGCUUUUUUCAUUAGGUAGCUAGCAAUAUGAUCGAUGUAGCUCAACAAAUAGAUGUCUCCCUUCCUCAGAUGAUAAUGAAAUUGAUGAGAGCCAUGUCAACAUUGUGGUCAUUGAUGAGCUCCAUGAGAAGCUUCUGUAAUGAGUCUAAGGAGGUGUGUGCCCUUUGUCCUGUGGGUGUACGGAGUGAUCUCUAGUACCUUGCUUGGUCAUGCUCUCUCCACCUAGAUGAUGCACAUCCGGAAGCAGCAGGUGAUCGAGAUAGGAGCAGACGGGGUUGGGACGUUCCAGCACGAGAGAGUCUGUUGGCUGCAGAUUGCCACUAAGAACAAGGUGUACCUCUUUGACAUCCUGAUGCUUGAAGCCCGGGCCUUCAAGAACAGCCUGUCCAUGAUCCUGGAAACCACAUUUUAAAGGUCACCUAUAGCUGCCAGAGAAUUGCCGAAUGUCUGAGGGCUCAGUUUGGAGUGAAUCUCACCAAUGUCUUUGACACGCAGGUGGCAGAUAUCCUGUGCUUCUAUACAGAGACAGGUGGCUUCCUGCUAGGAGGUGGUGAACCUACAUCUGAAGAUGCCCUCAUCACGACUCUCCUCUCUCAAGAUCAAGUCUCUGCUCACCAAGAGCAGUGUUCUGGAGCUGCCUAGGGAGCUGCGGGAGUUGAAGCACAUGCGGCAGGAGUGGACCAUCGACCGUUACCCUGUCUCUGAGCAGGGCCUGCUGGAGCGCUCCAACCCCAGACCCCUACCCCCAUCACAGGAUGGGCAGGGCCAGAACAUAGCCACCCAAAGACAACCUGACCCCCCUGUCCCCACAGCAGAGGAGGCUGUAGUCCCAGGACCAGUACCAGGGCUUCAGGCCCCAGCAGAGCAGAGACCCCCUGUCCCAGCAAUACCCCGUGGGCAUCUGACCUCCAUGCUAUGCCCAGUGACCUGACCCCAGAGGUCAAGCAGAGCUCCAGGAAACAGCCAUCUGGAGAUGUCAGCCCUGCGGCUCCAUCAGGAUCAGGAGAACCAGGACUCAUGGAGAUAGUGAUGGUCACAAUGGCAGGCAGAGGGAGGUCUCUGAUGAAAGAUGCAGCACCACCAACCCUCCCUGCCUUCCCUCCCUGCCUUCCUCUUCCUGGGAAGAGGCCUGGUUUUCCCGAUACCAGCGGCCCAGGUCCCUAAGGAGAGCCCCAGGGUUCUAAAGACCCAGGCCCCAGUGGGGAGGGUAGAGGUGCCUGUCCACCCAGGCCCAAGACUCAGCCCAGUACAGUGAGCUGUACCCCAGCAGGCUGCCCUUUGUCCUGCCAUGCCUGAAAACAUCCCUUGGCCAGAGAGAGGCCUCUUCAUCCAGAAACCUCAAGGUCUCACCUCUCCUCUCAGUCUCUCCCUCAUUUCCUUUAGAAAGACUUAAGAGUACCACCUAUGGUUGUGAAGGGUUGGUUGAAAAUUACUUGUGUAAUUGUUUAUUCUACAAAGACCACUAGAUGGCAGUAAAUUGUCCAUUUUGUUUGCAAAUGUAAAUUGCAUCAAUGUUUGGGGGGAAACGGUCAUGUUUCAGUUAAAUGGUUUUCUAUUUCAAAUGGAAAAACAACAGUAGAUUCACAUCAAAUUAAAAUCAGAUGAGAGAUCAUUUGAUAAUUCUGUAUCAUGGCGACUAGUUUACCAUGUGUACAUGGCUUAAUUUGAGUACAUUUUUUUGUUUAUUCAAAUUGCUGUUCACACUUGUUACAAAUGUAAAUUAA